UGAUAUAGAUAUUGAUGUUGACUACGCUGUAAAAAAUUGCUGUAGUUUCUACAGCAAAAUUUUACAGAAUUUUACUGUUUAAACACUUUACAAGAUGUAGCUGUAAUUCGCAAUGCAUUGUGGGUCAAAUGAGGUUUUACAGUUGUUAGCAGUAUAUUUCCAUGUCAACUGUAAUUAAUUUACAAGAAGCAGGUGUUAUCACUGUAGCUCCUGCUUCUUACACUACUUUACUCUAGUGUGGCAUUAUGGGAUUGUGCGCGCAUCGUUCAAAUCUGAAAUCCAGCCGACUGGAGCAGUGCCAGAACGAUUGAAGAUUAGAGGCUUUAUUCAUAAUUCCUGGUGCAAAGAAUAGCAGCUGAUGUGGAGAAAUGUUUGAUGCUUCAAGACUCUCUGAAGCUGAUUAUAUUAGGUGCACCCAGUGGCUUUUGACUAGGCCUAUUCGAGGGUCACAUGGUUGUGAAUUCAUACCUCAACUUUGCGGCUGGAUUUUCAGUCUUAUUACAACUUCAGUCUGGCGUCCCGGGAGCAGGCGUCUUUUGCACACUUGAAUUAUUUCAAAAGAUGUUUUGUUGGAAUCACAACACUCACUGGAUACAAGACGGAUACACAGAGGCAAAACAAGUGGAAAGGUCUCAGAGAAGAGGGACAACCCUCAUGUGUGUCCUCAUCUCAGAAAGUUGAUGGACUUUCAGUAUGUAUUUAUUAAAUUGUCUUUUGCAGGAAUAUUCUAAAUUUAAUAUAACAAGCUCAAACAACAGAAUUUGUGGUAUAAUGUUGAUUCCAGCAUUUUAUUUGAAUCCUUUUUUAACCAAAAUUGUACAAAUUCUGUUGAUUGACCUUAAUUUUUUAUAGAAAGUUAAUGUUCUACUCAGAAUAUGGCUUAUUUUUUGUGAUAUAUUUUGUGAUGCUAUGUUAAUUUUAUGAUAAGAUUCUAACUGUUGAAAGACUGACAUUUUUAUUUUUUUU